UACUUUUUAUGGAUUUCUUCAGCCAGUGCUUCCUUUGUAGGCUUCCAAAAAUUGGAUGGAUGGAUGCUUAUAAUGUCUGAAAACCGACUCAAGAGAAACAUAAAUAAUAAAACGGCUAUUACUCGUAGUUUUUACCACCUUGUAGAAAAAAUCUUUAACUUGAAUAGAACGAUAAAUAAUUAGAAAUACAACAGUGGAUCACAAUC